rnacentral:rRNA from 1 species
UGGGGAAUAUUGCACAAUGGGCGCAAGCCUGAUGCAGCCAUGCCGCGUGUGUGAAGAAGGCCUUCGGGUUGUAAAGCACUUUCAGCGGGGAGGAAGGCGGUGAGGUUAAUAACCUCAUCGAUUUACGUUACCCGCAGAAGAAGCACCGGCUAACUCCGUGCCAGCAGCCGCGGUAAUACGGAGGGUGCAAGCGUUAAUCGGAAUUACUGGGCGUAAAGCGCACGCAGGCGGUCUGUCAAGUCGGAUGUGAAAUCCCCGGGCUCAACCUGGGAACUGCAUUCGAAACUGGCAGGCUAGAGUCUUGUAGAGGGGGGUAGAAUUCCAGGUGUAGCGGUGAAAUGCGUAGAGAUCUGGAGGAAUACCGGUGGCGAAGGCGGCCCCCUGGACAAAGACUGACGCUCAGGUGCGAAAGCGUGGGGAGCAAACAGG